rnacentral:lncRNA from 1 species
CAUCAGUCGCCGGGAGAGGCGGGCUAGACGACGGAGAUGUAGAGGGAGCUUCUGGCGUCGUAGGAGCAAGAGCUGGAACCUGAGCGGGAGGAGAUGCAAGAGGAGCUGGAGGAGGAGUUGCUGGAGGAGGAGAUGCGACGGGUGGAGGAGUUGCUGGUGGAGGAGAAGCGACGGGAGGGGGAGUUGCUGGAGGAGGAGUUGCCACUGGAGGAGGAGUGGCCGGAGGAGGAGAAGCGACUGGAGGAGGAGUAGCAGGAGGAGGAGCGGUGGUGGCUGGAGGAGGAGAAGUUGUGACUGGUGGAGGAGCUGAGACAGGAGGAGGAGUGGCUGCUGGCGGGGGAGUUGUUGUGGUGGGUGGUGCUGGUGUGGUGGUUGGUGGUGACGACGGAGCUUGACCUCCGACGCCGGCGAUGAGGACGAUGCAG